GAUCCAAGGAAUCACAACGAACAGGGACCGGUUCUAAAUGGAUGGAAGCACCGGCAGCAUGAACCCUAUACAAUCGUGUUAUCGAUGGCUGGUAUGCGCCAACCGAAUCGAAAGCAAACACGUUGAACAAUAAUAUGGCAAGAAACCGGACGAGGUACGACCUCCUUCGAUAUAUGUAAUGCCAGACUCGAACAACAUUAGAAAUUCAUCCGAUUCUUCGCCUUGUUCUUCUCUGAUUGUACGACAUUGCGCGCCCAAAUAAUUACGUAGAUUUACUGCGUGAAUUGCAGCACAAGCUCUUUUAUCCAACUAUAAAGUAUUAUACAUCGAUUUGAAAAACAUGACAGAUUUUCAAGACGUGUUCUUUGCACGUUGCUAUAUCGUAAACUGAUCGAUUAUUUCAAACAUACAUUAUACAUAUUAUUAUAUACCUACCGUAGCUUUCUCCCCUAUCCAGAAAUAAAUUGCCCAAACUAAA